UACAGAGGGUGCUAGCGUUGUUCGGAAUCAUUGGGCGUAAAGGGCGUGUAGGCGGUUUGUUAAGUCAUGUGUGAAAUCCCUCGGCUCAACCGGGGAACGACGCAUGAAACUGGCAAGCUAGAGUACCAAAGAGGGGGGUGGAAUUCCCGGUGUAGCGGUGAAAUGCGCAGAUAUCGGGAGGAACACCAAUGGCGAAGGCAGCUCGCUGGGACGUGACUGACGCUGAGACGCGAAAGCGUGGGGAGCAAACAGG
rnacentral:rRNA from 1 species